ensembl:lncRNA
GGACAUUUCUCUCAGUCAACAGUCAAUCAGGUUGAUCAACGUGAAAGUGCUGACAUGAAGCUUGGGUUGCUUGUCGUGGUGGCUGUGGCAGUUGUGCUGCCCAGCUUUUCUGAGAGCAGGAUUGUCUCCAAAUGUGAGCUCAAAGACAAGCUCGGGAAAAUGAUCAAUCUGCCCAGAAACUCAAAGGAAAAAAUCUUGGCAAUAGUUAUCUGUGACGUGAAACGGAGGUCUGAUCUGAACACCGCUUUGGUCACAUCAUUUGGAAAGUGCACUAACACUACUACUAGCCCAACUAGUACUAACUCCACCAUCAGCUCAGUGAACACAACCCUUGAGUCAAACAGCACAAGUAGCAGUGAGGAAGACAGCAGUGAGGAGGAGAGCAGGCAAAUUAACGGAGGAGUGGAAGACAGCAGGGAGGAGGAAAAUUUGACGCCUUUGUCCCUCAGCCUUUACGGGCUCUUCCAGCUGUCUGACAGGAAGUUCUGUGAUUCAGGGUAUUGCCCAUCUGAAAAUUUGUGUAAUACCUCCUGCACAGCCUUUAACGACGAGGACAUAACUGAUGAUAUUGCUUGUGUUAUCCAGACUGGAUACUGGAAGGAGAUUGAGAUGACAGCCUCAGAGUCAUGUCGUCACAACUGGAAUUGCUUCAAAGAAUAAAGUGCUGACAUGAAACUCGGGUUGCUUGUUGUGGUGGCUGUGGCAGUUCUGCUGCCCAGCUUUUCUGAGAGCCGGAUCGUCUCCAAAUGCGAGCUCCAAGACAAGCUUGGGAAAGUGAUACGUCUGCCCAGGACACUCUUGGCUAUAAUUGUCUGUGAAGUGGACAGGAUCUCUCAUCUGAACACCAGCUUGGUCAAUGUGCUUGGCAAGCGCACAACUACCACACUAAAGCCAACAACCCCCUCCACAACAGCAGUCACCUUAACGACCACUGGAGCGACGACACUGACAAGCACCAACUCAGCAACCACUGACCUGACUGCUACUACUACUACUACUUCUACUGCUAUUACUACUACUACUACUGUCAUGACUACUAGCCCUGCGAUUACUAACUCCACCAUCAGCUCAGUGAACACAACCCUUGUGUCAAACAGCACAAGUGGCAUGAACAGAAGAAAGCGACAUGCUCACUCGAGCAGUGAGGAGGAGAUCGGGCAAACUGGCGGAGGAGUGGAAGACAGCAGUGAGGAGGAAAACUUGAAGCCUUCGUCCCUCGGCCUUUACGGGCUCUUCCAGCUGCCUGACAACAUUUUCUGUAAUUCGGGGCUUCGUCCAUCCAGAAAUGUUUGCCGCACCUCCUGCAACUGUGAGUUCUUGCACCCACAGCGGGUUAAUUUAUUAUGUUUUGUUUUUUUGUUUUUUUUAUUUUGCAUAUUAAAAAUUGUUUCUUUUUUCCUCGCAGCCUUCACUGACAAUAACAUAACUGACGAUAUUGCUUGUUUCAUCAACACUGGUUACUGGAGGUAAGUUUCUGGACAGCAUAAUACAUAUAGGUCAAAUAAAUAAUCAAACCUUUGAAUAAAUAUCACAUGCCUGUAAUGAAUUAUUUGACUAAUUUAUUUGCAGUAUAUAUACUGUACAACAAUUGACAAAUUAAAGAAAAAUCCGAUAUAAACUGAUUUAGCAAGCUGUGACAUUAAUACAGCUUCAGCACUCCCUUGCAUGUCUCUGGAACUUUAAUGUAAGGACUGAACACCAUUGUUAAGAAAUCACUGUCUGAGAUGCUGGUUAGGAUUUCUGAAGGGGAUCCACCUCAUAUAUAGAUGCAAUAAUCAAACAUUACAAAUGUGUACAGCUUAGCUCACUCAGUAAAGCAUGUGAUCAAUAUGCCAUAAGGUUAAUGCUGAGGCCUGGGUUUGAAUCUGUCCCCAAAAUCAGUCAUUGCAUAUCUUCCAACAACUGUCAAAAAAGUGCAUUCUUUAUAUUAAAAAGAAGCAGAUACACAAAAAGCUUAAGUGAAGACACUGAAUAUAACACAAAUAUGUUAAUGUAAAGAGAAAUACAACAUAUGGUGUUGCCUAAUAAUUACCUUUUGUUUUAAUCCAACAGGAACAUUGUGAGGAGAGCCUCUCGCUCAUGUCGUCACAACAUGAAUUUCUUAAGAGAAUGUAAAUAAGUGGAUGUGGAAUCACAGUUUUUCCCUGCAGAAUCACAAAAAAUUCUUCACAGUUUCCAUCUCCAGUGAUCUGUGAUUAAGGAACCGCAUGCUCCAUUAUCUACUUUACCUUAUGAAGCACUAUUUUCUUUCUUUGGUGGAGGAAUCUUUCAAUAAACAUUACUUUGCAGCAUAUAUACA